GAUCAUGGCUCAGGAUGAACGCUAGCUACAGGCUUAACACAUGCAAGUCGAGGGGCAGCAUUUUAGUUUGCUUGCAAACUAAAGAUGGCGACCGGCGCACGGGUGAGUAACGCGUAUGCAACCUGCCCGAUACCGGGGUAUAGCCCAUGGAAACGUGGAUUAACACCCCAUAGUACUUUUAUCCUGCAUGGGAUGUGAGUUAAAUGUUCAAGGUAUCGGAUGGGCAUGCGUCCUAUUAG
rnacentral:rRNA from 1 species